rnacentral:rRNA from 1 species
ACUCCUACGGGAGGCAGCAGUAGGAAUUUUCCGCAAUGGACGAAAGUCUGACGGAGCAAUGCCGCGUGAGUGAUGAAGGUUUUCGAAUCGUAAAGCUCUGUUGUAAGGGAAGAAUAGCAGUAGUAGGAAAUGACUACUGUGUGACGGUACCUUACCAGAAAAGCCACGGCUAACUACGUGCCAGCAGCCGCGGUAAUACGUAGGUGGCAAGCGUUAUCCGGAAUUAUUGGGCGUAAAGCGCAUGUAGGCGGCUCUUUAAGUCUGAUGUGAAAGCCUGUGGCUCAACCACAGAAAUUGCAUUGGAUACUGGAGAGCUAGAAUCUUGGAGAGGU